GCUGAGAAUCACAAUAUUGGUGUUUUUUAUCAAAUAAAACGUUUUAACCCACCGAAUUUUCUUAUUAAUGUUGCAGUUUAAAAACACAUAUACAUUAUUUACACAAAAGACAAAACAUGUUUUUGAGAAUAUAUCCAUGAAAAAGCCAGUUGGGACUGGACUCAUUAACCUAUAACUGCAGCUAAAGGCAACUCAAAAAAGCCUGAAUCUUUCAGUCAAAAUGCUGUCUGCAAGAAUUUGCAAGUCAUUAGUUUCCAGGUUAGAAGUGCGAGAUAACUGGUUUUCUGUCAUCACUGUUCUCAGAAAAGUAUACGUAUAAAGAGUCCCUGAUAAAGUUCCUGUUUUGCUUAGAGAGGGAAGUUGGUUGAUAGAGUGAAUGCAACAGCAGUUUUCUGCUCUCAGAAGCAUUUGCAUCAAGGCCAGGAGAUUAAACGUGUGGGUUGGGAACUGCGGAGAGUGUGUUGUCUCGCUUGGGGCUCCCGGUGCCAGAGUUCCAGCUUUCAUCGCACAGGGUGAAAGAUUUUUCCUGGACGACUCCGUCUAUGUGGCUACAGGCCUCAUGUUCAGCUUAUUAGUGCUGGUGUGCAGCUGCCUGCUGCAGAGCGAACUUGUGGCCACAGAGGGGCACCGUGGGCCCAACCGCCAUGUCUUCUAUGCAGUUCACAUGGAUGGAGGCAGCAAAGCCGCCAGAGCUUUGGCUGAGCAGCACAAGCUGGAGUUCAUACAGCGGGUCAGUGAAUGUUUAAUGCUACUGUUAUUAUCUGCUGCUAAGGGCCUUUAGCGGCUAAAAGUGACAACUCGUUCUUCUUUGUGUUUGAGAGCUUCCAAAGUGCUGACUUGUGCUUUUCUUCUUCAAGGAUGUCUGACUUUCAUCAAAUUGUAGAUGGACUUCUGGGUAUCUGAUCACAAAACACACAAAUUGAAAACUUUAAAAAUCUAAAAGUGGAGAAAUCCGCCCGUCACGGCAACUCUAGAAACAAAAACAACACAAAUCACCAAACAACCAGAUGAGUAAAUAAAUAGAUACAUAAAUACAUAUUUCCUUAUACCAGAGUACUACAAGGGAUAUAUCUAAAGUGAUUCUUUAACAUUGAAUGUUGCUUUUAAACAUUUUCGGUCUCUUCUUUUAUUUUUUUUUAGUCACUGGAUUUUGUUACCUGAAAAGAAUCUUUCGGAUCAGAACCGGAUUACAGCUAUGCAAAACUGCAAUAUAAAUUAACUCAGUAUAGGGUGGGAUUAUAUAAACUCGCUUCUUCCUACUCCUUUUAAAGCAAUAUAUCAAGCUCUACUUGACUUUAGUUAAUGAUUACUGUUUUUAAUUAAGCAUAUGUGAUUUAAGUGUCUUUUUUUAAUUUUCUUUUGUGUUUUUUUAAUCUAUGCAUUUUAUAAUUUCUGUAAUGAGUUUGAUAAAUCUGUGUAAAUUCUUUAUUGUUUUGACUCCAAUGCUUGAAAUAAAUCAAAUCAAUAAUUCUUUCCUUGAAAAAAAGCACCAAAAAAAAUU
rnacentral:lncRNA from 1 species